rnacentral:tRNA from 1 species
GCCUGGGUGGCUGAGUCAGUUAAGCAUCUGACUUCAGCUCAGGUCAUGAUCUCACAGUUCAUGGGUUUGAGCCCCACAUCGGGUU